GACGUAGGGGGCGAGCGUUGUCCGGAUUUAUUGGGCGUAAAGAGCGCGUAGGCGGCCCGUUAAGUCGGAUGUGAAAACCCGUGGCUCAACCACGGGCCUGCAUCCGAUACUGGCGGGCUCGAGGCAGGCAGGGGAGAUCGGAAUUCCUGGUGUAGCGGUGAAAUGCGCAGGUAUCAGGAGGAACACCGGUGGCGAAGGCGGAUCUCUGGGCCUGUCCUGACGCUCAGGCGCGAAAGCUAGGGGAGCAAACAGG
rnacentral:rRNA from 1 species